rnacentral:rRNA from 1 species
AACGCGAAGAACCUUACCAGCCUUUGACAUGUCCCGUAUGAGUACCAGAGAUGGAACUCUUCAGUUCGGCUGGCGGGAACACAGGUGCUGCAUGGCUGUCGUCAGCUCGUGUCGUGAGAUGUUGGGUUAAGUCCCGCAACGAGCGCAACCCUCGCCCUUAGUUGCCAUCAUUCAGUUGGGCACUCUAAGGGGACUGCCGGUGAUAAGCCGCGAGGAAGGUGGGGAUGACGUCAAGUCCUCAUGGCCCUUACAGGCUGGGCUACACACGUGCUACAAUGGCGGUGACAAUGGGACGCAAUGGAGUAAUCCUGCGCAAAUCUCAAAAAGCCGUCUCAGUUCGGAUUGUGCUCUGCAACUCGAGCACAUGAAGUUGGAAUCGCUAGUAAUCGCAGAUCAGCACGCUGCGGUGAAUACGUUCCCGGGCCUUGUA